AAAACGCUGAACUCAGGCGGCUCUUGCCCCUGGAGGUUUAUUAAAAUAACAUCUCUAUUAUUCAAAAUAUUUGAACAAGUGGCAGGGUGGUUACCUCCCUCUCUCAGAGGCCUGCUGGUGCCAGCCAUAACACACAAGAACAAAGCAGAGGCUUUCGCCCAGCACAUUUCUUCCCUCUGGUGUUUCCUCCUGUGAGAAACGACCUCCGAUCAAGGGCAGGUGAAGGCCGGAGCUUUAAAAUAGAUUAUUUUGUUCGCCGCUGGAAUUGAAAGCAAACACUCCUGAUUCCCCUUUGAUGCCAGCUGACCUGAAUCAAAGCCCGGAGACCUCUAGCUGAUAAUGUUUACCAGAUGCCGCAGCGAAGGAGGAUUUCCAAUUUGGCUUCUGGCUCGCUGGACACCCCUGCUGAAAAGCCAAGCGCCCAAGGACGCGGGUGGGAGUUCGGCGUUUGGCUGCUGCGACACGAAAUUCACACGGGAGAAAGAGCAAGUGCAAAACGAAGCGGUGAUCCUUCUGCACAGCCCAGCACCUCUGGGUACCUGUUUAAUCCCUGCAGUAGUGGGGAGAGAAGAAUUUAGUUCUCUGUAUGUGACAGCCUACUUUUAAAUGAAAAUACAUGACAUUUCAGUGGAAACCAGAAAUAAAUAUGGGAGAGAAACCUCUGACGAAACAUGAAGAGAUGAAAUUUGUCCAUAAUGAAUCCAAAAUGUGAAAAGAAAAAGGCCUCUGCUAUGUAUUUCUCUCUUUCUUCUCCAAAAGUUUCAGUAUGAUUUGUCUUAAGCACAAAUAAUAAGUCAAGAAAGAUUACUGCUAUGAAAAACAAUUCCAUAUUUUUCUUAUUUAGUGGCUUUGCAAUGGUUCGGUGAUUUGUUUAUAUCGUGUUGUGGUUUUCUUUUUUAUUUUCUAAAGUGUAGAAGAAUUUCUCAUGAAAGGUCUAACACAAACCACACAAUAAAAAUUUCAUGUAAAAUGAUCAAGGAUAGAAUGUUGACCUUAUUAAAGCCAAGGGCAUUUGAAUCAAAA